GAUGAACGCUGGCGGCGUGCCUAAUACAUGCAAGUCGAGCGAAUGGAUUAAGAGCUUGCUCUUAUGAAGUUAGCGGCGGACGGGUGAGUAACACGUGGGUAACCUGCCCAUAAGACUGGGAUAACUCCGGGAAACCGGGGCUAAUACCGGAUAACAUUUGAACCGCAUGGUUCGAAAUUGAAAGGCGGCUUCGGCUGUCACUUAUGGAUGGACCCGCGUCGCAUUAGCUAGUUGGUGAGGUAACGGCUCACCAAGGCAAAGAUGCGUAGCCGGCCUGGGAGGGUGAUCGGCCACACGGGGACUGAGACACGGCCCAGACUCCUACGGGAGGUAGCAGUAGGGAAUCUUCCGCAAUGGACGAAAGUCUGACGGAGCAACGCCGCGUGAGUGAUGAAGGCUUUCGGGUCGUAAAACUCUGUUGUUAGGGAAGAACAAGUGCUAGUUGAAUAAGCUGACACCUUGACGGUACCUAACCAGAAAGCCACGGCUAACUACGUGCCAGCAGCCGCCGUAA
rnacentral:rRNA from 1 species